rnacentral:rRNA from 1 species
CUAAUACAUGCAAGUCGAGCGAACAGACGAGGAGCUUGCUCCUCUGACGUUAGCGGCGGACGGGUGAGUAACACGUGGAUAACCUACCUAUAAGACUGGGAUAACUUCGGGAAACCGGAGCUAAUACCGGAUAAUAUAUUGAACCGCAUGGUUCAAUAGUGAAAGACGGUUUUGCUGUCACUUAUAGAUGGAUCCGCGCCGCAUUAGCUAGUUGGUAAGGUAACGGCUUACCAAGGCAACGAUGCGUAGCCGUACCUGAGAGGGUGAUCGGCCACACUGGAACUGAGACACGGUCCAGACUCCUACGGGAGGCAGCAGUAGGGAAUCUUCCGCAAUGGGCGAAAGCCUGACGGAGCAACGCCGCGUGAGUGAUGAAGGUCUUCGGAUCGUAAAACUCUGUUAUUAGGGAAGAACAAAUGUGUAAGUAACUAUGCACGUCUUGACGGUACCUAAUCAGAAAGCCACGGCUAACUACGUGCCAGCAGCCGCGGUAAUACGUAGCGUGGCAAGCGUUAUCCGGAAUUAUUGGGCGUAAAGCGCGCGUAGGCGCGUUUUUUAAGUCUGAUGUGAAAGCCCACGGGUCAACCGUGGAGGGUCAUUGGAAACUGGAAAACUUGAGUGAAGAAAAAGAAAGUGGAAUUCCAUGUGUAGCGGUGAAAUGCGCAGAGAUAUGGAGGAACACCAGUGGCGAAGGCGACUUUCUGGUCUGUAACUGACGCUGAUGUGCGAAAGCGUGGGGAUCAAACAGGAUUAGAUACCCUGGUAGUCCACGCCGUAAACGAUGAGUGCUAAGUGUUAGGGGGUUUCCGCCCCCUUUAGUGCUGCAGCUAACGCAUUAAGCACUCCGCCUGGGGAGUACGACCGCAAGGUUGAAACUCAAAGGAAUUGACGGGGAUCCCGCACCAAGCGGUGGAGCAUGUGGUUUAAUUCGAAGCAACGCGAAGAACCUUACCAAAUCUUGACAUCCUCUGACCCCUCUAGAGAUAGAGUUUUCCCCUCUCGGGGGACAAGAUUGACAGUGGUGCCAUGAGUUGUCGUCAGCUCGUGUCGUGAGAUGUUUGGGUUAAGUCCCGCAACG